rnacentral:tRNA from 1 species
GCGGGCGUAGCUCAGUCAGUUAGAGUGCUGGCCUAUCACGCCGGAGGUCGCGGGUUCGAGCCCCGUCGUCCGCGCCA